GCUGAGAUAGCUCAGUCAGUAGAGCAUGAAACUCUUAAUCUCAGGGUUGUGGGUUCGAGUCCUGUGUUGGGCA